AUGGCAAAGUGUUCCCGACAGGAAAUAUAGAAGCCUGUGUGUUAAUUAGAGAAAGAGUACACAACAUUGAUUUUGACGAUUGUUGAGAGACAAGAUAAAACCGGACAGGUUUGAAACGCAGUUUUUGAAAGAAAUUAGGCCGAACGCUUGUUUAUUUCCUUGUUUUUUUUUUUUCUCUAGCGCUCCAUCUCUCCAUAAAAAGGUGCUUGAUUAUUCUUAAAGUACGUGGCGCUGCCUGGGCACGUAGCGUCAAUCUUGUAUUACACGUUGUUGCCCUUGUGUAGUUUUUUGUUUCCAUAAAGCUUUGGAAUGUGCGCGUUAAUCUUGAACGAGGAAAAAGGAAAUAGAGGCGCUCAGUUUUUGGUUGACACAAUCCCAUGAAGCCAGAAGACAAUGAAACUGAGAAUAGCGAUGGGACAUUAAGCAUUGCUUUAGGUGAAAUGCAGAAAUGAUAAGACAACGGGAGAACACAGCGUACGAAAAAAAAAAAAAACUUGGCUCCGGUGGGAGCCCUACCCACAUGUUGCGCAUUACGCUUGCGGUGAUAUAGCAGUUGAGCCAUAGGGACGGCUGUACUUGUAUUCAUCAUCUGGGAUAUGUGUGUAUGUGCAGAAGGACUUGCCCUUAGAAUGUUAGGCGGUGCCGCUUAUGGACAAGGCGAAUGAUGUAGAAGACUACUAAGAAUGCAAUCGCUUUUUCGUUACCUUGUUUGUUACCUUUUUCUGUGUGUGUAGAAUUUCUCUUUCUCUUGUCCUGCUCGGGAUUUCAGUUUCACUUUGUUCACUCAAAUGGUGCAUAUGGUAAAGAGAUUUGCUUAAAGUGUCUAGGCGUUAUGCAGAAAUUAAUUUCAUUAUUAGCUACAGCGCGACAGAAAGAGAAAAGAUUAGAACGAAGCGAAGACACACAACCAAGUGAACACGCAGAGUGAUCUGUGUGUUCACUUGGUUUAAUUCAAAAGGUAGUUGAAGUCAAUUUCUAAGCCAAAAAUUAGGUUGACAAUUGGGCGCUUGUCUUCGUCGCCUCGCGUUCUUUGUUUAAAGUAAACACACUAUAGAACGCACUAGAAAACAGGUGCCUAUUAUCCUCAUGUACAGUAAUAGAUUUAACUAAACCGAGAAAACGAGCACUUGUAAGCGUGACUGAAACGAUUUUGGUAAUCGAGAAAAAAAAAAAGAAAAGAAAAGAAAACAAUUUCUAGUGCCAUUUUAUUUCUCACGCUUGUAAUUUCAUUGCUUUCUCUUCUGCACCAAAGAUCUGCUCUUCCGGAGCACAAGGCUCGUACACAUAUAAUACAACUUAUGAGUCUGGCUUCUUUAAAGGCGGCGGUGGUGUUUUCACAUUCGAUACGGAACAGGCGCUAAAGUCUAAGAUGUGUGCCUUCAAGGACCAAGUCAAAGAUUUGAAAUUCAGCUUCGCCGUGUACGACAUCGAUGCCGACGAGUCUUCGAGCCCGUGCACAGACGUCCAAUACACGGGCCAGUACAAUAGGCUGAAGCUGCUCCGUAAGCUCUCGGACUUCAUGCAGAACUACACCAACAUUAUGGACUGCAAAGGUGUCUCCUAGCAACUGCUGACCGUCACUGCAGCGCGUUGCAUAGGGAAACGGCCUUACGCGUGAUCGUCUACUGGAAUUCGUGGUGCAGAGUGCACAUUUCAUUUUGUGCGUGCACCUGUUUCUUUUAUAGUGCAGCUACCCUUUUCAUUUCUCUCAGUCUCACUUAUGCUGUUGCUUUCCUCUCUAAUGUGUUUUUGUAGACGUUCUUAACUUAACACCAAAACACAGUGCUUGUUUAACGACUUCAUUGUCUGAUAGCAUACGUCGGUCAUUACGCUGUUAUUACUGUUUUGUGUAGUUUUUUUCUUUCUAAUGUGCAGAUUAGUUUGAAUUUCCGUUGUGCCUAUUCGCAAUCGUUUGUCACCAGUGUUGCGAUAAGUUCUGUUCUGCUUUCGAGCUGUUUUCUCGCUAUCAAUGUAAUGUAAUGCCAGAUAACGUAUUGAACAAAGUGUUGCCGGCG